rnacentral:rRNA from 1 species
AUUGAACGCUGGCGGCAUGCUUUACACAUGCAAGUCGAACGGUAACAGGCCGCAAGGUGCUGACGAGUGGCGAACGGGAGAGUAAUGCUUCGGAACGUGCCCAGUCGUGGGGGAUAACUACUCGAAAGAGUAGCUAAUACCGCAUACGAUCUAUGGACGAAAGCGGGGGACCGUAAGGCCUCACGCGACUGUAGCGUCCCAUGUCAGAUUAGGUAGUUGGUGGGGUAAAGGCUCACCAAGCCAACGACACGUAGCCGGUCUGAGAGGACGACCAGCCACACUGGGACUGAGACACGGCCCAGACUCCUACGGGAGGCAGCAGUGGGGAAUUUUGGACAAUGGGCGCAAGCCUGACCCAGCAAUGCCGCGUGCAGGAAGAAGGUCUUCGGGUUGUAAACUGCUUUUGUACGGGACGAAACGGCUCUGGUUAAUACCCGGGGCUAAUGACGGUACCGUAAGAAUAAGCACCGGCUAACUACGUGC